rnacentral:rRNA from 2 species
UACUAUACUAAAUUUAAAAACAAAACUGGAAUAUUAUAAGAUAAAGACUUUAAAUUCAAAGAAUUUGGCGGUAAUUUAGUCUUUUCAGAGGAACCUGUUUUUUAAACGAUAAACCACGAAUAAUCUUACUUGCCUUAAGAAUUAUGAAGUUUGUAUACCGCCAUUAUCAGAUAAUAUUUAAAGAUUGAAUUAUUAAAUUUUAAAUAGUAGUAAAAAUUAGGUCAAGGUGCAGCUUAUAGGUAAGUUAAAAUGGGUUACAAUAAUAUUAUUUAUAACGGAAUAAGAUUUGAAAAAAUUCUAUGAAGGAGGAUUUGAUUGUAAUAUAAAUCACCAAGGUAUAAUGAUAUAAGCUCUAAAUUAU